UACGAAGGGGGCUAGCGUUGCUCGGAAUUACUGGGCGUAAAGCGCACGUAGGCGGCUUUCUAAGUCGGAGGUGAAAUCCUGGAGCUCAACUCCAGAACUGCCUUCGAUACUGGAGAGCUUGAGUCCGGGAGAGGUGAGUGGAACUGCGAGUGUAGAGGUGAAAUUCGUAGAUAUUCGCAAGAACACCAGUGGCGAAGGCGGCUCACUGGCCCGGUACUGACGCUGAGGUGCGAAAGCUAGGGGAGCAAACAGG
rnacentral:rRNA from 1 species